ACUGAAUAGAUACCCAGGUAGUCCUGGCUGUAAACGAUGUCGACUAGAUCGUGGCGGCUCUGACGCUGUCACGGUCGAAGCAAAGUGCUAAGUCGACCGCCUGGGAAGUACGGUCGCAAGGCUAAAACUCAAAGGAAUUGACGGGGGCUCACACAAGCGGUGGAGCAUGUGGUUCAAUUCGAAGCAACGCGCAGAACCUUACCUGGGCUUGACAUGCUAGGAUUAUCUUGGUGAAAGCCGAGUAGGCCCUUCGGGUACGAACUAGUACAGGUGCUGCAUGGCUGUCGUCAGCUCGUGUCGUGAGAUGUCGGGUUAAGUCCCUUAACGAGCGAAACCUUGCCCUUAGUUACCAUCGGGUUAUGCCGGGACUCUAAGGGGACUGCCGGUGUCAAACCGGAGGAAGGUGGAGAUGACGUCAAGUCCUCAUGGCCUUUAUGCCCAGGGCCACACACGUGCUACAAUGGCGUGCACAGAGCGAACCGAGAGCGCAAGCUGGAGGAAAUACGCACAAAUCACG
rnacentral:rRNA from 1 species